UGUCGAUGAAGAGUGCAGCCAACUGUGUGAAUUAAUGUGAACUGCGUACUGCUUUGAGCAUCGACAUCUUGAACGCAUAUUGCGGCCAUGGGCUAGCCUGUGGCCACGCCUGUCCGAGGGUCG
rnacentral:rRNA from 1 species